rnacentral:rRNA from 1 species
AGCUCCAAUAGCGUAUAUUAAAGUUGUUGCGGUUAAAAAGCUCGUAGUUGGAUUUCUGUCGAGGGCGGGCGGUCCGCACUAUGUGCGUGUAUCUUGUCCGGUCUUGGCAUCCUCUUGGGGAACGCUUCUGUGCUUGAUUGCAUGGGGUGGAAUUCAAGACUUUUACUUUGAGGAAAUUAGAGUGUUCACGGCAAGCUACCGCUUUGAAUACAUUAGCAUGGAAUAAUAAUAUAGGGCAUAAGUUCUAUUUUGUUGGUUUCUAGGACAUAUGCAAUGAUUAAUAGGGACAAUUGGGGGCAUUCGUACUAACACGUCAGAGGUGGAAUUCUUAGAUUGUGUUAUGACGAACUACUGCGAAAGCAUUUGCCAAAGAUGUUUUCA